UACGAAGGGGGCUAGCGUUGCUCGGAAUUACUGGGCGUAAAGGGCGCGUAGGCGGAUAUUUAAGUUAGAGGUGAAAGCCCAGGGCUCAACCCUGGAAUAGCCUUUAAUACUGGAUAUCUUGAGUUCGGGAGAGGUGAGUGGAACUCCGGGUGUAGCGGUGGAAUGCGUAGAGAUCCGGAAGAACACCGGUGGCGAAGGCGGUCUGCUGGGCCAAGACUGACGCUGAGGCGCGACAGCGUGGGGAGCAAACAGG
rnacentral:rRNA from 1 species